GGGGAAUAUUGCACAAUGGGGGAAACCCUGAUGCAGCAACGCCGCGUGAAGGAUGACGGUUUUCGGAUUGUAAACUUCUUUUCUUAGUGACGAAGACAGUGACGGUAGCUAAGGAAUAAGCAUCGGCUAACUACGUGCCAGCAGCCGCGGUAAUACGUAGGAUGCAAGCGUUAUCCGGAUUUACUGGGUGUAAAGGGAGCGCAGGCGGGACUGCAAGUUGGAUGUGAAAUACCGUGGCUUAACCACGGAACUGCAUCCAAAACUGUAGUUCUUGAGUGAAGUAGAGGCAAGCGGAAUUCCGAGUGUAGCGGUGAAAUGCGUAGAUAUUCGGAGGAACACCAGUGGCGAAGGCGGCUUGCUGGGCUUUAACUGACGCUGAGGCUCGAAAGUGUGGGGAGCAAACAGGAUUAGAUACCCUGGUAGUCCACACUGUAAACGAUGAUAGCUAGGUGUGGGGGGUCUGACCCCUUCCGUGCCGGAGUUAACGCAAUAAGCUAUCCACCUGGGGAGUACGACCGCAAGGUUGAAACUCAAAGGAAUUGACGGGGGCCCGCACAAGCAGUGGAUUAUGUGGUUUAAUUCGAAGCAACGCGAAGAACCUUACCAGGCCUUGACAUCCGACUAACGAGAUAGAGAUAUGUCAGGUGCCCUUCGGGGAAAGUCGAGACAGGUGGUGCAUGGUUGUCGUCAGCUCGUGUCGUGAGAUGUUGGGUUAAGUCCCGCAACGAGCGCAACCCCUGCCAUUAGUUGCUACGCAAGAGCACUCUAAUGGGACCGCUACCGACAAGGUGGAGGAAGGUGGGGACGACGUCAAAUCAUCAUGCCCCUUAUGACCUGGGCUACACACGUAAUACAAUGGCCGUUAACAGAGGGAAGCAAAGCGGUGACGCAGAGCAAAACCCUAAAAACGGUCCCAGUUCGGACUGUAGGCUGCAACCCGCCUACACGAAGUUGGAAUUGCUAGUAAUCGCGGAUCAGCAUGCCGCGGUGAAUACGUUCCCG
rnacentral:rRNA from 1 species